CCUACGGGGGACAGCAGUGAGGAAUAUUGGUCAAUGGACGAGAGUCUGAACCAGCCAAGUAGCGUGAAGGAUGACUGCCCUAUGGGUUGUAAACUUCUUUUAUAUGGGAAUAAAAUGUUCCACGUGUGGGAUUUUGUAUGUACCAUAUGAAUAAGGAUCGGCUAACUCCGUGCCAGCAGCCGCGGUAAUACGGAGGAUCCGAGCGUUAUCCGGAUUUAUUGGGUUUAAAGGGAGCGUAGGUGGAUUGUUAAGUCAGUUGUGAAAGUUUGCGGCUCAACCGUAAAAUUGCAGUUGAAACUGGCAGUCUUGAGUACAGUAGAGGUGGGCGGAAGUCGUGGUGUAGCGGUGAAAUGCUUAGAUAUCACGAAGAACUCCGAUUGCGAAGGCAGUUCACUGGACUGCAACUGACACUGAGGCUCGAAAGUGUGGGUAUCAAACAGGAUUAGAUACCCGAGUAGUC
rnacentral:rRNA from 1 species